CAGCCGCCACGGGAAAACGAAGGGGGCUAGCGUUGCUCGGAAUGACUGGGCGUAAAGGGCGCGUAGGCGGCGAUCAAAGUCAGGCGUGAAAUUCCUGGGCUCAACCUGGGGGCUGCGUUUGAUACUUGAUUGCUAGAGUGGGGAAGAGGGUCGUGGAAUUCCCAGUGUAGAGGUGAAAUUCGUAGAUAUUGGGAAGAACACCGGUGGCGAAGGCGGCGACCUGGUCCUUGACUGACGCUGAGGCGCGAAAGCGUGGGGAGCAAACUGGAUUAGAUACCCCUGUAGUCCCUGUCUCUUAUAC
rnacentral:rRNA from 1 species